rnacentral:rRNA from 1 species
CAAAUGUUGACUGACCGGCUCAGAAAUGAGCCUUUCCUUCGGGACAGUCAGCAAGGUGCUGCAUGGUUGUCGUCAGCUCGUGCCGUGAGGUGUCAGGUUAAGUCCUAUAACGAGCGCAACCCCUACGUCCAGUUGCCAGCGGGUAAAGCCGGGGACUCUGGAGGGACUGCCGGCGCAAGCCGAGAGGAAGGUGGGGAUGACGUCAAAUCAGCACGGCCCUUACGUCCAGGGCGACACACGUGCUACAAUGGCCGGUACAGAGGGCAGCCACCUGGUGACAGGGAGCGAAUCUCGAAAGCCGGUCUCAGUUCGGAUCGGAGUCUGCAACUCGACUCCGUGAAGUUGGAUUCGCUAGUAAUCGCGCAUCAGCCAUGGCGCGGUGAAUACGUUCCCGGGCCUUGUACACACCGCCCGUCAAGCCAUGAAAGUCUGGGGUACCUGAAGUCCGUGACCGCAAGGAGCGGCCUAGGGUAAAACAGGUGAUUGGGGCUAAGUCGUAACAAGGUA